CAUUGUGGACGAUGAGAAAUUGAAAUGAACAGUUAUCCCUGUCUGAUUUUUUGGUGUUGAUGCUUAUCAACUCUGACACUUCA